UGUUCUAUUGUCGAAUUGGUAAAGGCAUCGUAGAUCACAGGCGAAGUUUCGGGUUCGAGUCCCGCUGGAACGG
rnacentral:tRNA from 1 species